CGCUGACACUUACUCAAGCCAUAGACGUUGAUUUCAGGAGUAGAACUUGCCAGGCCAUCAGGUGUCUGUUUCAAGGUGUACGCCUGCAGUGUUGCAUGUGCUCAGUCACUCGAGUUGCAGUUAUGUUCCUGAAACCAAGAAAUUACCCAAAUUACAAUUAUAAUGCACAAAUCAUCUCUGAAAUCCCAACCCAUAUUGUAAAGCUUGAAGGCUACACCUUUGAGAGCUUCAGCCAAAAAAGAAACAAAUAUCAGUAGUAUGUACAAAUAUUAAGAGACCUGAUGUAUUUGGAUUCUUUUAUUUGCAUGGAAGACAAUAAACAGACAUCGAUGGCACCCAAGUAGCAAGGCAAGACAUAACCAGACACACAUUAACAUGUUAAUUGUUACAAUAUGUAUUUUAAAUAGAACGGAGCAAAGAGUAAUACAUUCCUUGAAUUAUGAUCCAAGGUGACUUUUUCAUACUCCUUAUUUUUUUUAUAGUGUAGGUGUAAGAAGGAACUCUUAUAUAUUGAAGGUGGUUUUUCCCAGUCAACUCGUUGCAGUUUUAGUGGGUGGUGGCUUCCACUGUAACUCUGAACCUCUAUUUCCCUUUGGGGCGGUGUAAGAAGGAACUCUUAUAUAUUGAAGGUGGUUUUUUCCAGUCAACUCAUUGCAGUUUCAGUGGGUGGUGGCUUCCACUGUAACUCUGAACCUCUAUUUCCCUUUUGGGCAA
rnacentral:rRNA from 1 species